rnacentral:rRNA from 1 species
UACGUAGGGUGCAAGCGUUGUCCGGAAUUAUUGGGCGUAAAGAGCUCGUAGGCGGUUUGUUGCGUCGGCUGUGAAAUCCCGAGGCUCAACCGUCGGGUCUGCAGUCGAUACGAGCAAACUAGAGUGUUGCAGGGGAGACUGGAAUUCCUGGUGUAGCGGUGAAAUGCGCAGAUAUCAGGAGGAACACCGGUGGCGAAGGCGGGUCUCUGGGGCAACAACUGACGCUGAGGAGCGAAAGCGUGGGGGAGCGAACAGGA